ensembl:lncRNA
AGAGUAACUUCAGCUGUUUUUAUCAUAGGAAGACUUGGCAGAAAAUAGCUUCCCCUACUGCUGUGCUAGAUGAGAUGGAGGGGUGCAGUCACAUAAAGGAGACCCGAAGUCACAGGAAGAGGAUUUUUCUCAGCAGACUGAUGAUGGCAGGAAGGUGAAAUAAAGAGAAAGGUAUCAUUUCUGCUCCAGUCUUUAUCUACUUGGCUGUGAAAACCAAGAUAUUACAAGCAUUCCCAUCAAGAUACUGAAAAUUACCUCUACCUUGGGACCAUGUAGACAAAGAUUCAGUGACAAAUGCCAAGAAAAUAAACUAUAUUAUGAAAGACUUUGAGGAACUUUGAGAUUGCGGAGCAGUGUGGAACACUUUGAACUGUGCUGAGAAGACUCACUUUCAUUUCAAGAUUUUCCUCCAGCGAAUUAAUUUAUUUCAUACAGGACAGAAGACAUGUUAUAGGUUCUUGCUACAUACGCCGUCUGCUAACUUCAGACCAAAAUACAGCAUGGAGGAGAGGCUGCGAGGAAAAAUGAAAAUUGAAGACCUGGACAGAAUGUUUAAAAGGGGAUAAGAAAAGUAAAUACUAUUUCCCCAAAAGUGUAAUGAGUUCGUGUCCAAAAGCCCCUGUUCCACUCAUGGCCCGGCUGUCUUAGGCACCGGUAGCAGCUGCCACUCUAGUUGCUCAGUUUGCCUUGUGGUGCUGGUGUUUACUGAAGGGCUAGGAAUAUUAUUAUUUUUUAUAUAUUUUUUAUGCCUUAUGACACCACUGAAAUUUUAAAAUAAAGAGAAUUCUGAUUCUGAGUUGAAUUCAAUGAGAUUUUCCUGCUUCAUCUUCCUUUUUAAAUUCUGAGACUGAAGGGACAAAAACUUUAAAAGGAAUGCUUGCCCUCUUCUUAUUUGGAUUUAACAAAUCUAAGAAUGUCAAGAAUAUCCUGAAAAAUAUCUUGUUACAAUAUUUUAAAAUGAUGGCAGGUUUUUGUGUUUCUGUUGUUGUUGUUGUUUGUUUGCUUGCUUUUUUUGUGUGUUUUUU